AGCGAACGCUGGCGGCAGGCUUAACACAUGCAAGUCGAGCGGGCACUUUCGGGUGUCAGCGGCGGACGGGUGAGUAACGCGUGGGAACGUGCCCUCUGGUUCGGAAUAACUCAGGGAAACUUGAGCUAAUACCGGAUACGCCCUUUUGGGGAAAGGCUUGCUGCCGGAGGAUCGGCCCGCGUCUGAUUAGCUAGUUGGUGAGGUAACGGCUCACCAAGGCGACGAUCAGUAGCUGGUCUGAGAGGAUGAUCAGCCACACUGGGACUGAGACACGGCCCAGACUCCUACGGGAGGCAGCAGUGGGGAAUAUUGGACAAUGGGCGCAAGCCUGAUCCAGCCAUGCCGCGUGAGUGAUCAAGGCCCUAGGGUUGUAAAGCUCUUUUAUCCGGGACGAUAAUGACGGUACCGGAGGAAUAAGCCCCGGCUAACUUCGUG
rnacentral:rRNA from 1 species